AAGGUGGCAGAAUAGAAGGAACUGGGGCUUUUUGGCUGUGGGGCCAGCAGGAGAAAAGCGAAGUCCCCAGGAGACUCUUCCAGUAACUGGAGCUCCCAUGAGGCAGCUGCCUCCAGCAAGGCCGGUUAGGGUUCGGGCAUCUUGGGCCUGCAUCUGGGCCGGGCCCCCCCACCCUUGCUGUGCUGGGUUCACUCUGCACACAGCCUUCUCCAGGGCGUGGAGUUUGAGGGCUGCCCUCUGCAGGGCUUGGCCCACAGCCCUCCCUGGAGAUGGAGCCCCCAACUCCACAGGGGCAGGGGGCGGGAGGGGGAGCUCCCUGGAACCCAGCGCCGUGGCCCCGUGCAGUCCCUACCCCGGGUGCCCUUAGGCGGCCAGCAGUCCAGGGCCCAGCCCAGCAGGCUGAGGUCACCAUGGGUGUCUCCUGCUAGGUGUGCAGCCACCACUGGCUGAAUGCUUGCUUCCUCCCGGGAACACAGAGUGCUUUUCACACAGGCCUCAAGUGGCCCCACGGCUGUCUGGGGGUGGCUGCCAGCAUUAUCUCCAUUUUGCAGAUAAAGAAAUACCCCCAGAGGUGCCUGAGGGCGGGUGUCAGCCUGCCGGUGCCCCUGCUAACAGCUCCCCCAGGGCGCCUGCCUUCUCCUGGGCCUCAAAGCCGGGCCUCUGCCACCUCGGCUCCCUGGGGCCUGUGGGGUGGGGGCAUCUGGGCGCCUCUGAGCCCUGCCCUCUGAGGCUGACCUGAGGGCCAGGGGAGGGAGGCUGGGCCUGCUGGCUUGGGGUACCUCAGUUCCUCCCAACCCCUAACUUCCGAGGUAAUAAGCUGGGAACAUGACAGCUGCCUCCAGGCAGCCCUGAAGCCCUUGAAGAACAGAGACUGGGCUGGCCCUCCCAGUGGCCUCGGCUGCAGGGACCAGGCACAGGGCAUGGCCCUGCUCCCAUGUGGCCCUCGGCUCCCUGGCCGGUGGUAUGGAUUCGCUGAUUAAGGAUUCAGAUCGCACAGCUGGCACUUUAAGAAAACCGGAGGUGCCUGUGCUUCACAACAGAGAUCACCCUAGGCCCUCACCCAUCUGGGACCCAGGAAUGCCAGUCAGCUGCCCGGCACACGACAGGUCCUCUUCCUGGCUCACCCUCUGAUCGUGUGAGGCGCCCUGCUUCUGUGUGCAGCAGAGUCCAGCAGGGGCUGGGAGCCCACCCUGGCACAGCAGUGGAACCAGACAGGAGCCCAGAAGAGCAGAAAAACAGGACAUGAAUCACUGGUCACAAUCACUUGGACUGUCAAGAUGGGUCCUCACAGCGAGCGGUUACUACAGACGGCAAUUUUUAAAACAGGCAGAUU